rnacentral:rRNA from 1 species
GAUGAACGCUGGCGGCGUGCCUAAUACAUGCAAGUCGAGCGAAUGGAUUAAGAGCUUGCUCUUAUGAAGUUAGCGGCGGACGGGUGAGUAACACGUGGGUAACCUGCCCAUAAGACUGGGAUAACUCCGGGAAACCGGGGCUAAUACCGGAUAACAUUUUGAACCGCAUGGUUCGAAAUUGAAAGGCGGCUUCGGCUGUCACUUAUGGAUGGACCCGCGUCGCAUUAGCUAGUUGGUGAGGUAACGGCUCACCAAGGCAACGAUGCGUAGCCGACCUGAGAGGGGGAUCGGCCACCCUGGGACUGAGACACGGCCCAGACUCCUACGGGAGGCAGCAGUAGGGAAUCUUCCGCAAUGGACGAAAGUCUGACGGAGCAACGCCGCGUGAGUGAUGAAGGCUUUCGGGUCGUAAAACUCUGUUGUUAGGGAAGAACAAGUGCUAGUUGAAUAAGCUGGCACCUUGACGGUACCUAACCAGAAAGCCACGGCUAUCUACGUGCCAGCCGCCGCGGUAA